AUACGGAGGGUGCAAGCGUUAUCCGGAUUCAUUGGGUUUAAAGGGUGCGCAGGCGGACUUGUAAGUCAGUGGUGAAAUCCCGGGGCUCAACCUCGGAACUGCCAUUGAUACUGCAAGUCUUGAGUUUGGUUGAAGUGGGCGGAAUGUAGCAUGUAGCGGUGAAAUGCAUAGAUAUGCUACAGAACACCGAUCACGAAGGCAGCUCACUAAACCAACACUGACGCUCAGGCACGAAAGCGUGGGGAGCGAACAGGAUUAGAAACCCUAGUAGUCC
rnacentral:rRNA from 1 species